GUCCUUUUUGGGGGAAGAAAUAGUGCAGACAGAGAUGGAAAGCCACUCACCACUCAAAUCACAUCAACCAGGGGUGAUGAUUAGGUUUCCAAUUGUCACAAUUUGGCAGUUGCUAACCGGGCGACCUAAUCAUCUGUGUUAC